rnacentral:rRNA from 1 species
UAACGCGUGGAUAACCUGCCUCACACAGGGGGAUAACAGUUGGAAACGGCUGCUAAUACCGCAUAAGCGCACAGCACCGCAUGGUGCAGUGUGAAAAACUCCGGUGGUGUGAGAUGGAUCCGCGUCUGAUUAGCUAGUUGGCGGGGUAACGGCCCACCAAGGCGACGAUCAGUAGCCGGCCCGAGAGGGCGACCGGCCACAUUGGGACUGAGACACGGCCCAG